CUCCAUAGUUCAAAGCUAGCCUGGUUAGUGUAUUGGGACAACUUCUCAGCCAUGGAAGAGGGUGUACUUGCUUACUGGUAGCACCGUCACCAUUGAACUGUAAUUAGAUUCUCACUUGGCACAAACAACAUUU
ensembl:snoRNA